GAGAACACAGCAAGAAGAUGAUCAUCUGCAAGCCAGAAAGAGGGCCCUCAUCAAGAACUGAAUCUGCCAGCACCUUGGUCUUAGACUUUCCAUCUUCCAGCACUGUGAGAAAUAAAUGUCUGUUGUUUAAGCCACUCAGUCUGGUAUUUUAUUAUAGCAGCCUGAGCUUACUAAGAUAUAUGAUUACUUUCAAAGCCUUUGAGCUCACAUUAUGACCUUUUGUUUAGACAUGGUUUUGUGGUUCUGCAUUGAUCGAGCCACUGCUGCAUUUGGUUGACUUUUCUUCCAGCUGAGAAGCAGGAAGAAGAAUUGCUUGGAAGUACAAUGAAAUAGAAGAAAACCUCAGGAAGUAGCCUUUUUAAGGGUACUGGGCACCCACCUGCAUGUCUUAUGGCAGAAGUUACAGGGCAGAGACCUGUUGAUCACUUGCCUUCCCUAUCUCUUAUCUAUCUAUACUCAUCCUCCUUUCACCCUCCCACAAAAAAUGAUGGAACAAUUAUGUGAACUCUUUUAUUGUUCCAGGUUCUCACUAUAAAAAUUGUGAAAAGAUCAACUAAAUAAUAAAUAAGAAAAGACUGU
rnacentral:lncRNA from 1 species